GAAAUGCGAUAAGUAAUGUGAAUUGCAGAAUUCAGUGAAUCAUCGAAUCUUUGAACGCACCUUGCGCUCCUUGGUAUUCCUUGGAGCAUGCCUGUUUGAGUAUCAUGAAAUCUUCAAAGUAAAUCUUUUGUUAACUCAAUUGGUUUCUACUUUGGUAUUGGAGGUCUUUGCAGCUUCACACCUGCUCCUCUUUGUUCAUUAGCUGGAUCUCAGUGUUAUGCUUGGUUCCACUCGGCGUGAUAAGUUAUCUAUAGCUGAGGACACUGUAAAAGGUGGCCAAGGUAAAUGCAGAUGAACCGCUUCUAAUAGUCCAUUGACUUGGACAAUACUUUUAUGAUCUGAUCUCAAAUCAGGUAGGACUACCCGCUGAACUUAAGC
rnacentral:misc_RNA from 1 species